rnacentral:misc_RNA from 1 species
GAUGAAGAACGUAGCGAAAUGCGAUACGUAAUGUGAAUUGCAGAUUUCAGUGAAUCAUCGAAUCUUUGAACGCACAUUGCGCCCGCCAGUAUUCUGGCGGGCAUGCCUGUUCGAGCGUCAUUUCAACCAUCAAGCGCCUCGCUUGUGUUGGGGCCCUGCGGCUGCCGCAGGCCCCUAAAUCCAGUGGCGGGCUCGUCGUCGUACCGAGUGCAGUAAACAUCCUCGCUCAGGGAACCCGACGGGUGCCGGCCGUGAAACCCCCCCUCCUCAAGGUUGACCUCGGAUCAGGUAGGAAUACCCGCUGAACUUAAGCAUAUCAAUAAGCGGAGG